CAGGAGAAGGACUUAGUGGGUGAGCUUCUACCUUGGGUGCAGAAGGUUCUGGGUUCAAUUCCUGGCAUCUCCUGG